rnacentral:rRNA from 1 species
UACGUAGGGUGCGAGCGUUAAUCGGAAUUACUGGGCGUAAAGCGUGCGCAGGCGGUCUGUUAAGACAGAUGUGAAAUCCCCGGGCUUAACCUGGGAACUGCAUUUGUGACUGGCAGGCUAGGGUAUGGCAGAGGGGGGUAGAAUUCCACGUGUAGCAGUGAAAUGCGUAGAGAUGUGGAGGAAUACCGAUGGCGAAGGCAGCCCCCUGGGCCAAUACUGACGCUCAUGCACGAAAGCGUGGGGAGCAAACAGG